AUGAUCUCUGGGCUGUGGACACCUAAUCUCUCUACAAACUCUUCAGUAUCAGAAAGCCUCGCAAGUUAUUUGUUGUCUACACUGCUGUAUGGAGUCCGCUUAGAAGGCUCACAACUAGGUGCACGGACUGGUACUGAACCGAGCAGGACACCCAGGAAGUUUGCGUUGCCGGAAGGUUGCCGUUUGUUUCCUACCUGUCAGCAGAAAGCUCCUCCACAGAAAUUUGGACCAGAUGUUAAAACAGGCACAGCAAGGCUGGUCUCUGCCCUUCCCACCGCUCCUGCUACGUACCUGACACACCGUCCUCCCCAGCUCGGUGCUCCAGGGCCUCAGUUUCCUAGCUCGCAGCUGCAUGCUGUGCCUGUUGGAAGGUUGAAUGAAAUAACACACGCGACGUGUUGAGAAGAAUGCCUGCACGCGGCAAGCACGCAGCUAACGUCAGGUAGUGUGGUCACGGUUACCAUCCCGCUAGCAGCCCGGACGCAGACCGGGGCCUACUCUUCGAAGGUGGUGCUCAGCAGAAUGAUGUUUAUGGCCAACGAGGCUUUCCACAGCCAGAACUGCGGGACGCGGUGCUUGGGAACAUGUGCCAACCAAUCGGGGAAUGACAUUCAUGCUUCCUGGGGACUGAAGGCCGUAGCACCUGCUCGAAGCCAAGUCCGCCCUGAAUAGUCCGGAGGCUCUGACUCAGAUGUCUUCCCACAAUAUAUGGAGAAAUGGCAAAAGUGGGGUUUGAUCAUCGUACGUAAAACCUAUCAAAUUUUAUGACCUGGACCCAACAGGUCAAUCUGAUUAGCGUAUACGUUAUUUUCUCAGUGUUACAAUGAUGUAUUUUGACAAUAAUAUCUGUCGGCCCUCUCGUGGCCUAUGUUUACCUGGUUGAUGUAGCUGACUCUGUGGGACCCCCUCCUUCCCGCUACUUCGUGUGUAUAUUCCCAAACUCCACAAGCUCUUAAACUAACACCACUUCUCGUGGCGGAGGAAGGACCUCUGGCCUCAGCUACAGCCUCUAAUCACACGCCCACAGCCUGUCUGCCAAACACCGGAUGGCACGAUAAUCAUCAAAAACAUUCGAGUAUCCCUUAUGCACCAGGCCCUCGGGAAGAGUAAAUACACAGGAUUUGUAAUGAGACUUGGUUAUGAUCGCUGUAAAGGUGAGAAUUACCAUAAAACCAGAAGCCAAAGCUCAUUUCUAUGAGCAUGUGCAGCCACCUCUCUCCAACCACAUUUUUUACCAAAGUUGUUAACAAGUCAAUCUAUGGACAAGUGUUAGUUUCAUUUACUGUAAGAUGAUGUGGGGGCCUUUCUUGUGCUGCGAGGACCCAUGGGUAUAAAACAAGAUGUGUGAAGUUCUCCCAGAUUCGACACAGGGUGCUAGAGGUUGGGGUCGGACACCCCGACG
rnacentral:lncRNA from 12 species